rnacentral:rRNA from 1 species
GACGAACGCUGGCGGCGUGCUUAACACAUGCAAGUCGAACGCGCCUGUCCUCUGGGUUUCUGGGGGGUGGGUGAGUGGCGAACGGGUGAGUAACACGUGAGUAACCUGCCCCCUUCUUCGGGAUAACGGUCUGAAAGGGCUGCUAAUACCGGGUAUUCACUGGUCUCCGCAUGGGGUCUGGUGGAAAGGUUUUUUUCUGGUGGGGGAUGGGCUCGCGGCCUAUCAGCUUGUUGGUGGGGUGAUGGCCCACCAAGGCUUUGACGGGUAGCCGGCCUGAGAGGGUGACCGGUCACAUUGGGACUUAGAUGCGGCCCAGACUCCUACGGGAGGCAGCAGUGGGGAAUAUUGCACAAUGGGCGCAAGCCUGAUGCAGCGACGCCGCGUGAGGGAUGGAGGCCUUCGGGUUGUGAACCUCUUUCGCCCGUGGUCAAGCCGCGACGUGGGUCGUGGUGAGGGUAGUGGGUAAAGAAGCGCCGGCUAACUACGUG